AGCGAACGCUGGCGGCAGGCUUAACACAUGCAAGUCGAGCGGACCUUUCGGGGUCAGCGGCGGACGGGUGAGUAACGCGUGGGAACGUGCCUUCCGGUUCGGAAUAACCCUGGGAAACUAGGGCUAAUACCGGAUACGCCCUUAUGGGGAAAGGUUUACUGCCGGAAGAUCGGCCCGCGUCUGAUUAGCUAGUUGGUGGGGUAACGGCCUACCAAGGCGACGAUCAGUAGCUGGUCUGAGAGGAUGAUCAGCCACACUGGGACUGAGACACGGCCCAGACUCCUACGGGAGGCAGCAGUGGGGAAUAUUGGACAAUGGGCGCAAGCAUGAGCCAGCCAUGCCGCGUGAGUGGUGAAGGACUUAGGGUUGUAAAGCUCUUUUAUCCGGGACGAUAAUGACGGUACCGGAGGAAUAAGCCCCGGCUAACUUCGUG
rnacentral:rRNA from 1 species